UCUCCAUCCCACCCCUGCUUGCGCUCUGUCUCUGUCUUUCAAAGAUGAAUAAACAUAAACAAAAAUUAAAAAAAAAAUAAAGUUAUCAUCAGAUUUAUUUCCAGUAUCGUUUCACAUACAUCACCCCCUAUUUGCUGCCCUCUGAGAGAAUGAGCUGUCAACUUUAAUUGUACCCAAGAGAUAGACUAGUCCAUGGUCUGUUCCUAAAGUCUCCACUGCUUUCCUGCCUUCCUCCUUUCUUUCUGCCCAAUCCCAGAGUCUCCAUACAUCUGAAUCCUGUCCUUUCAAAUUCCAGUUGAUAAGUAUCAUCUUGAUAAAGAUUUUGCUGCCCAAUCUAGGCUUCCAUGAUUCCUGUUCUUUCUCCUAACCUGUCUAAUUUCAUGACAGGAUUAUUGAUUCCUUUCACAUAAUGCUUGCUAUGCACCGUCUUGAAUUGUUUGCUAGCUUUCCGUGGGUAUGUCUUUUCUACCUGACUUUCUAAUAAAUGUCCUGAGGUUAGAACAUCUUUUUCUCUUCUCUUCCUUCCGUGUCACUAAAAAUGUUCCAGGUCCCUUGUUCUGCAUGCCACUUACUUCAAAGCAGAGGCUCAGUGCAUACUUGCUAAUUAAUUGAUAAUAAUGUGUCUUGCAGGUGUGUCUCUUAUUUCCAACUUCUCAAAAAUGAGAGUAGAUUCACUUUUACAAAGUUAGUAAAAUUCAUUCUUCCACAGACUGACAGAUUCACUCCUGAUACCAUGGGCCUCAAGACAAUUGCUCCCCACUCCUGAAAACAUCUGUGCACCAUUUUUCCUAUGCAAACAUUGGAAAGGUCAAAAACAUUCUGUGGAAUGAGAGUAAUGUCUCAAAGAGAUUUUUGGCAAGUAGAAGUAGCCAGCUCCCACAUCCAGGUUGGAAACCUUUGCCCACAGAAAAGUAUGCCUUUUAUUCAAAUAUGGGCACUUUGUUUAUUUUUAGGGACCCAGCAUUUCAGCCUUCAUUUGUAAUUACCUAUUGAGGUCUGUAGGAGUUGUUGAACAACACUAUUUUCAACUCUCCUGAUGCACACUACUUGUGGCGGACUGAGGUGAAGAGAAAACUAAAGUAAUUAAACGGUCUCUAGGUAAUUGGCACAUCGGCAGCAUUUAAAUUAGAAUCCUAAUACCUAAUCAGAUUUGACAAGAGUAUUAAACAUUGGUUCUAUUUUCUCCUGAGAAUAACACCAGGGACUUUUCUGAAGAAAUGUGAGGCAUUAGCUGACUUGUAAAAUGACUAUAAUCCAGAGUCAUGGAGUCUUCUCUCUCUUUGAGCAUUUUUGCAAAUGGAGAACUUGCUGAUCCUUGGUGCCCAUCCAGCCAUUAUCUUUAAGUGUGUAACAGAUUAUGUUAUUCCUUCCUGUUCUUCUCUCCAGGCCAAAUAACUCCAAUGCUCUUUUCACUCCUUCUUAAUAUACUCCAGUCUUCUCUGGGCUCUAAUGUGGACUUGGGAGCAGGGCUUCCUAAUGGUGAUUCUACCAACUAGAUUUACGGUCUUGGACAAAUCAUGGGCUCUUUGCACUUCAAUAUUCUCAUCCCUUAAAAGAAGAUCAUAACCACAACCUUCAAUGAUUCUGGCAAAAGUGAUUAAACUGCUGAGGAAGAGGUUUUAGGGGAAUAGGAUGUUCACAUAGUCUCAGAGAGUCUCCCUAUAGACUACUAUCUACCCGCAAAGAGGAAAAUGUACCUUUAUGUUGGGGAGCUCCAAAAGUCACCCCUUUAACCAAGUGGUCAAAUCCAGAGUGAGCUUCUCUGAUAGUCCAAGUAGGCACAAGGUCUAGGGCCCAUGAUACUUGUAGGAGUUUAGAAAAGUGUUUUAAUUUCUUUUAAAAACCAGAAGAAAAAAAUGAAUACAAUGCAUCUUGGAUUAUAUUUAUCUUUAUGCUGAAAUAAUUAUAAAAUAGAAUUCUUAAUAUUUUUUUUUUGCGGAGAAAGGGUCCUAUAAAGGUAAAAAUACCAAGGGCCCAUGAAAUUCAUAAUUUGGCCCUGAUUUAAUUUAGCAUCACCAAUAAUGGGACCAUCUGAGAUCAUGUGCCUCCUGAUAUAAUGCAAUGGGAUAAACACAACAUUGCCAAUACAGUUGUCUUGCUCCAAAUUUUUAAUCUGAAUCUGUAUAUGAAGAAACAAUCAGACAAAUCCAAUUCUGGCACAUUCUACAAGAUAACUGGCUUAGAGUCAUCAAAACAGUCCACAUCAUUUUUUAGAAGAAUAUAGGGGAGUUAUUGUUAUACCUCAAAGGAGAUUAAAGAGGUAUAAUAAGUAAUCCUUUUCACAAUAUAUACAUACAGCAAAUCAUUAUGUUAUGCCUCUUAAACUUAUACAAUGUUAUGUGUCAAUUAUAUCUCAACGACACCAGAAAAACAAAAUAUAACAACCUAAUGCAAUGUACAUACCGUAAUUUGAUCCUGGAUUUUUUUAAAAAAGGUAAUAAAUUACAUUUUUUUGGGAAAAUGUGGGAAAUAUGAUUACAUAUUAGAUUCUAUUAAUGAAUUAUUGUUAAUUUCAGUAGGUGUGAUAAUGGAAUUGGGGUUGUGCAGAAGAGUGUCCGUGUUCUUAGGAAACACACCGAAAUAGGAGUGAAAGGUCAGGAUAUUUGUACCUUACUUUCCAGAAUUCAACAAAAUAAAACAAAACAAACAAAUAUGUGUAUGUCUCACACUGGAGAGCAAGAACAAUGUCUAGGGAAUGCUAAUUGUUGAAUGUGGGUGGGUAUUAUACAGAAGUUCAUAAACAAGGGAGAAAACAUGCUAAAAUACAGAAUUUUAAAAAAGAUAAAAGAGUAAAAUAACAAUUUUAAAACAACGUGUUAUAUAUUUUAUUGACUAUAAGCCCUUUUGUCAUCAGAAAAACUUUAUUAUAAUUAUAAUGUGACUGAAUAUGUCAUGUCUGAUUAGUGCCUAUACUAGGAAUGAGGGAAUUGUCUUUUUUGUUAUAUUCAUAUUGUUCUCUUGGGCUUGCAAUUUUAGUAUCAUCUAUAAUCUGUGGGGUUUUGUUUUGCUCUGUUUUGUUCUGUAGGAAUAUUUUUAGGUCACUUGUCCAUUUGGGGAGGUUAGUUUAAUUAAAACUAGAUCAUACAAAAAAACAAAACAAAACAAGAUACACAGCAAUCUGCCAAACCUCUCCGAAACCUGAAAGUGCAGGGAAGAAUAGGGUGCCAUUGUUGAGCCUUCUAUAUGGUGGGACCUGUUCUCCUGCCACCCGAGCUGCGCGUGAUAAGGGAUCCUCUGAUGUGGACUCGGGGAGAGAGUGAGCCUCAGUUUGGACACUACAUAUUACCAAUAUUUAGUUCAUCUUUUCUUUUAAAUAAAAAAUCAAUAUAAAUAUAAGUUUUGAAGCUUUCCUCCUUACCUGUUAGAUCAGGUUGCACCUCUCCUAGAGGGCAUGAACCCCACUUUGUGGUCCGUUAUCCAAUAAGAUACUUUCCGGAAAAUUUAGCAAGUGUUUCAGGGAGUUUUCUAAGAGUCAGCAGCUGAGACUUCUCUCCUUGCCCUGGGAGGAAGCAAGCUUUAAACUCAGGUGAAGGCAGAGGGUCAUGAUCCAUAUUAUAAAGUGUAGUCAUACUUUUUCUUUUUCUCAUUUUCUUCAGAGAAAGAUCAAGACACAGAUCGUGGAUCCACACAGGUCCAUCUCAGUAAAGUCCUGAAGUUUGUGAACUGCAAUUCCCCCUCUAUUGUGUUCUUUCCCUGUAGGCACAUAUGGUUUCCCUGAGAGCAAACCCUGCUUUGGGGAGGGGCGUGCAUAGCAGUCAUUCCCUCUGUAGUUUGGCUUGACGUCAAUGCGAUCACUUUCCCCGCAUGGAAAGUCCGACCUCUGAUUGUAGAAAGAAGGAUCUCUUUUGUUUAUUCCAAUAAACAAGUUUUGUUUAUUCCUCCAGCAGAUGGAGGAGCCACUGGAGGGGCAAGGGCUGCAGGCAGCCACACUUCUAUUUACUUCUUCAAAGGCUUACUUUGCAACUACCAUGUGGGAAGUUCUUUCUUGCAACAGAUUGAAGAGGAAGAGUAUUGUGUACCUGGGUUUCAAUUAGAUUGAUUCUGUUAACGACAACAGUAGCUAAAACUUGUGGGAGACUUACUAUGGAUCAGGUAACUAUGUUAUGAGCUUUGUUUAAAUUAUCACUGUUUUAUCUUCAUAACAAUUCUCUAUAGUAGGUACUAAUAUUAUUGUUCUUUUACAGAUGAAGAAACUGAGGCAAAAUAACUUUUCCAAGGCCAUUAGUGCCAAGCAUUGGAGACAAGAUUUGAGCCCACGCAGGCUUCUUCCUAUCAUGAUGAUCCUGUGGUUGACCAGGCAGCCUGGGCUUUCUGGUGUAGAGGAGGAAAAAUAAUUUUCUCUCUGCUGUUCUAGGUUCUUGGCCGAGACCCACCCACUCCCCCAUAACAAAAGACAAUUUAAUAGGAGAAAAACAAAUAGAAGUUUAAUAUCCUAUAUACUUCCUAUACCCAUAGGAGAGGCCCAGGAAAAUGGAGGAACUCCCCCAGAUGACCCAAGCCUCCAUCUUAAGUACCAUUUCCAGUUAAAGGCAAAGGAAGAUGGGGGGACAGGUAUGGGAGGUUAACCAGGAAAAGUAUAGUAAACAAGAGUAAGAUUGUCAUGCAGAUCUAAAUCUUGGCCUUCUCCAUAGGAGAUAGGAGCUCCUAGAGAUUUAGAGUCAUCCUCUCCCUGGUACAAAGACAGAGACACCCUUACAGAUGGAGAUUUCCCUUAUAAAUGGAAAUGUCUCUUACCAAAAGGAUAACUUUGAUUAGGGUUUUCAGAGCUUGUCCUGUGCCUGCUGUUUCUUAAAUAAUCUGCCUAAAAUAAUCCUCAUGCCAAAGAGGCACAUUUUGGGGUAGCAAAUUCUUCUCCUUUUUGCUGGCAUUGAAAUUAAGGGAGAAAAGCAAAGAAAUGAUUAGAAUGUCUGUUCCCUACCUACUGCGUCCAUGGUGAAAGCACCGUGUUUCCAGACAGGCACAAAAGUCCUUUCUUCCUUGAGUCUGUUACACUGAAUCUCGGGACUCUUUCACUGCCGUAUACACACCCUGACCCCCUGUGGCCUGCGCCUAGAGUGAGGUCCAAGCUCUCUCAUAAACUCAGAGACCUCAGGGCCUAAAGAGGCCAUCCGAAUGAGACUUUGGAAGCAAGCUGAAAACGGCGUCAGGGAAGCUCUACAGUCCAGAGGCUGGCACUAGGCUGGGGAAGAGGCGCUGUCGUGGGAAACGUUCGGAAGGGCAGGUGGAGAAACUGAGGCACCAAAAGUGAAGUAAGUCACCCGAGGCGACACAGCUACCAAGUGACAGAGCCAGAGUUUGAACAGAGGUCCUGAGUCCAGAUCUUAAACUAUGAGAUUUUCAGAUCUCUACUUCAUCUGUGAAAUGGAACUAAUGAUAUCAACCUUGCUCACUCACUCCAGUUGAAAGAGCCUUGCAUCUGCCCCGGGCACUCCAGAGUCUGCCAGGAGACGCCACAGAUCUGUCACUGUGGGAACACACAAGUUGAGUCUCCUUUCCAGAGAGGCAGUGUAUGCUUCAGAAAAGUCAUACUGUGGAGAAGUUAUGGACUGCUGGCUCAUGUAAACCCCAACAGAGGGACUUUCUGGAAAAGAUGCUUUGCAAGAAAUUAAAUUUUCUUCUCUUGUGCAAAAAAAGGCCAAUGCCCCUGGAAUCCGUGAGGCUGGGCCUCUAGAACAUUAGUGGAGCAUUUGGAUCCCCUUAGAAGGGCACCACUGUGGAGUCACUCAGGUUAUCUUCCCUCAGAAUAGUAGGGUUUGAGAUCAGUAGCUCCCGCUGUCCAGGGAAGGGAAAUGGAAUCAGACUCUGUGUUUUGAUGGUUUCUGAAGAAAAGGUUCCAUUUUCCCCGAAGGAACUGGGACUUAGAACGAGGAAAGCCAGGAUUAUAGUCUGACUGUACUCUGAACCUGUUGUGACAAGGUCAAAUUCCAUUUUUCGGUCUCUGUCAAACAAGGGUUUGAACUUCAAGAUGACUUCUACUUGUUGCUGCUCAAACAUCACCCAAGCUGUGGUUAGUGUCCUCUUACUAGAGGAGCUAGUAAGCUAGCUAGGAGGCAUUUGAUAAUUGCCCAUCUGAGGAAUCCCUGAUACUCUCAAUGAGAGAGAUCAGCUAGCAUGGAUCUUGGAAAGGAGAUUUGGACCCCAAGACAUAGAGCAAACUCUCUUCUUUCCAAGAGAACUUUCUGCAGUGAUGGAAAUGUUCUGUAUCUGCACUGUCCAGUAGAGUCACAUGUGGCUACUGAGCCUUUCACACGUGGCUGGUGUGACUAGGGAGCUGAAUUUUUAGUUUUAUUUAAAUUAGAUUUAAAUUUAAAUAACCACUGUGAUUAGUGGCUAACAUGUUCGACCAUGUGACUUGAGAUAUCAGGAAAGGUUGAAAACUACAUUAUCUCAUAAAUUCCUUGCAAUGAAUGCGAAGAAUCUGUACUUCAAGACGUUUGCAUAAAUGCAACACUUCCCUGUUUCUUUCCACAUUCCAAAUCACAAGGGAGGGGAAAACUUAUGAACUGUCUUUUCCAUGGGAUCAAAGAAGGAUCACAAUUACACUGGAACUCCUGUAUACAUCUACCCUUAGGAUUCAUUCUGCCAGCUCCAUUCUAGCAGAAAUAGCACUGAAAAAUAAUACUGAAGCAGGCACAAUAUAACGUGGGCAUUAUAUGCUGUCAACAUUAAAUAUAGCUUUAAACUUUCCAUUUACUGGAAAAGAAAACACGAACUCUCCUCAUCCUUCUCCUGUUGAGGGUCCAAUUCAGGUCUUAAAUUCCAUGUACAUAAUACUGACGUGCCUAGUACAGAAAUGGGCAUCUGAUAGGAAAGAGCAGUAUGCAGAAAAAUACAUCCAUCCAUCCAACCACUGUCCAUCCAUCUGCCCAUCCACUCAGCCAUUCACCUGUCUGUUCAUCUGUCCAUCCAUCCACCCAUCUCUUCAUCCCCCAAAUCUAUUUAUAGAAUCAGAAAGAAUGGUUUUUCUCUCAUUUACUCAAACAAUGACAGCUUAGUAGAGAGGAAGAGGUAAGAAGCCGGUGACCGUGUUUUUAAACAUUUUAAGGAGUAUGCUUUCAGAUGAAUUCCAAAAGACAAGAAUAAUAAGAAUGAGAAGAAAAGUGUGCAUUAAUUAACCAUAAUUUUAAUUAACCAAUAGUUACUGAUCAUACAUUUGGUGCAAAGAACCAUGUGAGGUACUGUGGAAGAUAUAAGGAUGUGUAAGAAAUCUAUGCCCUCAGCAUCCUUAAUAAUCUACUUGAAAAGUUAAAGCAAUGAAUAUAUAAGAGGCUAAAAAAAGACAAAUGAGUGAAAUACUUCAAAAGAGGAAGAUGAAAGAAGUCACAAGAUAGUUCAUGUCUCAGAUAAUGAACUUUGUGUUUACAGUAGGGUCAGGAACUUUGGGCUAGAAUGGUCCCACUUAGGGCUUUAAGGGGGAAGCUUGCCAAAUUCCAAAUGAUAGGCAAGAUGACAGAAUUGAAAAACUUUGGAGAGACCUUAGAAAUAAUCAAGCUCAACUCUAUUACUUCACAGAUGAUUCAACUAAGGUCAGAGUGUUAGUGACUUGGUCCGACUCCCUGAAAUGGGCAGUAAUGGCAGCAAAAAGCCUAAAAGGCAGGACUGUUGACACCCAUCCCCAGCCCAUACAUCACACGGGGAGUAGAAUCUUCUAUGUAGGAAAGGAGAAAGCAUUCUGGAGAAUGUGCACAAAAGCAUAAGCAAGGAAGCAGAGCCAGGAACUCAUCAGUUUAACCACCAGGUGCAUGUGUAAGGGGAAAAAACCAUGAAAGGAGAGGUAGGGCAGGGACCAAAAGUAAAGGGGCCUGAAUGCAAAUCUGCAAAUGGUCAGCUGUGUGAAACCCAGAAUUCUGGUUUCUGGGACUGCCUUGAAGUCUCCCUUUGACACAGUGGCAGCAGUAUCAACUUUUCCAGAAAACUGUUAUUCCUUUCAUAUUAACAAAGAUUCCAGUUUGCCUGGGGGAAGGGAGGACUGUAGAAGGGAGAUUGGAACGAGCGCUGGCACUGCUGGUGAGCUUACAGGGGGCAGGGACGGAUGAUUAUCACUAUGCCCAUUCACACCUCAGAAACCCUGAUUCAGUAGAUUUAGGGUAGCAGCCAAGAAGCUGUAUGUUUUUUGAGCUCCCCAAUGAUUGGUGAUGAUCAUCCAGUGUGGAGGGUCCUCUGGUUCAUCCUUUUACCAACCUGUCAAAUACAGACUAGCACUUUAGAAAACUCUUUGAUGAUAUUUACUAAAUAUAUGCCACCAGUGAUCCAGUGACUCCAUUCCCAGGCUGAGACCCAAGAGAAAGAAACACACAUGUACCCCAAAAGGCAUGAAUAAGAAUAUCCAGAGUAGGCUAUUAGCAGCCCCCAACUGGAAACAACCCAAUGUUCAUCAGUAUUAGAAUGGAUACACAAACCGAGAUAUAUUCAUACGGUGGAAUACCACACAAGAAUUAAAAAGAACAAACCAUUGCUAUGUGCACCAACAUAGAUGACUCUCACAGACAUGAGAAGCAUAAGAAGUAUGAUUCUAUUUAUAUGAGAUUAACGAACCGGCAAAAAUAAUCUAUGUUAACUGAACUCAGAAUCGUGAUUGCCUCUCUCUGGGGGUGGGUAUUAACUGGAAAGAGACAGAAAAGAAACUCCUGGGGUGCCAGAUAUUCUGUAUCUCCAGCCAGGUGGUGGUUACGUUGCUAUGAAGACAGUGCAAAUACACUGAUCUAUACACUUGUUCACUUUACUGUAUAUAGAUCAUACCUUGUUGAGAAAAAAGAGAUUGUGUGUGUGUGUUUGCCCUGCCAACCUCACGACGUUAUUAUAAGACUCCAAUAGCUUUUUAAAACGAGAUAGACAAGUAUAGUUUUAUAUUAUUUAACUAGCUCAAUACUUAUUCUUGUUGAAAUUGGUUAGAUGCAGUACCUGUGAUUCAGGUGAGCCAUCAGCUUUCUCAAGCCUUUAGCAAAGCACAAAAAGUUAGUUACACGGAAGCUUAUAGUAAUUUCUGAACUUGGAAAUUGGAAAUUUCCGAACUUGGACACACAGUAACUAUAAAGUUGCUGAGAGCACACUAGAGCUGCCAAAGGGUGCAAACUGGCUUUUGAAAGAGCCUUUCUGCCGAUGGUCUGCUUUGAAAGCUCCCUGCAGCUGCAUUUGUACAUUCCACGCCCUCACUUUUCUCCCUGCCCACCCCCUCCCAACACCUCCGCACCCACCAACCCAGAAUGCAAAAUCUCCUCUUUCCGUCAAGAAAAUGGUCCUCAUCCCGAGGUGCCCUGCGCCACUGGUCAUGAGCCACAGACAGACCUUCUGCCGGCUGGGGAGUUUGCCUGCCCCUGGAUCAACGUGUGAAACUGCCUGUGGCCAUUAGCACCUGGUGGGCAAACGCUCAGGUUAGAGCAAGCUGGACGUGAGCUGCGGGAACGGAGAAACCCUGUCUGGCCAGUCCGAUGUGCAAACCUUGUCUCUGGGCUGUUAUUUUUCCACCUUUGAAAAUGAACAGUGUACUUCAGGCAGCUAAGUCUAAACACAUGUCUACAAAUACUGAUAACACUAUCUUUAUUUGUCCAUUACUUGACAAAGCCAGAUCACCUGGGGACUGUUUGUUCCUCUACAAAAUGAGAAUCCACUAUCGUAUGUAUUAAAAUGUAGGACAUUCUCUUCAGAGUAUAAACUUUCAAGAGCUGCUUCUCUGUCUUUCCUGGUACACUCUCAAAUCCGUGUGUAUCUUUAACACCAUAUCAUCCCGUGGAUUUUAAAAUAAAAAUGUAUAGGCUCUGGCUCAA